GCCUUCGUGGUGUAAUGGUCAGCACACUGAGCCGGUAUUUCAGAGGUCCGUGGUUCGAUCCCCGGCUAAGGCA
rnacentral:tRNA from 1 species